rnacentral:tRNA from 1 species
GGGGCUAUAGCUCAGCUGGGAGAGCGCCUGCUUUGCACGCAGGAGGUCUCGAUCCCGCAUAGCUCCACCA